GAUAAUAAAAUGCUCCGCAGGGCGCAGCUUGAUACGACCGCAGAGGUCGAACCCUGAACAGUUGGGGCAAGUAUGGACACAACAUUCAAGCUUGAUACAGCUUUGCAUUUGGAUUGUGAUUAAAUAUUUGACACAUCAUAGGUUUCUGACACAGAAUGAAUGUGGUCUAAGAACUUAAAAAUUUUAAAUUGGACAUUCACCUAUUAUGGUCCAAUAUCCAAAAUCUAAAUACAUGGUUAGAUUCAGCAUAUCAAAGAACCCCAUAUAUUCAGUUUUUGUUGAAAUCAAACAAAGUUUAAUUUUGGACCCCGAUUUGGACCAACUUGAAAACUGGGCCCAUAAUCAAAAAUCUAAAUACAUGUUUAGAUUCAGCAUAUCAAAGAACCCUAAAAAUUCAAUUUUUGUUAAAAUCAAACUAAGUUUAAUUUUGGACCCUUUGGACCUUAAUGUAGACCAAUUUGAAAACGGAAACAAAAAUUAAGAAUCUAAAUACACGGUUAGAUUCAGCAUAUCAAAGAACCCCAAUAAUUCAAUUUUUGAUGAAAUCAAACAAAGUUAAAUUUUGGACCCUUUGGACCUCAAUGUGGACCAAUUUAAAAACGGGGCCCAAAAUCCAAAAACUUAAUACACGGUUAGAUUCAGCAUAUUAAAGAACCCCAAGAAUUCAAGAAUAAAACCCCAUUGAAAUUGAUCAAGAAAUAAGCAAUUUAUACGAAGUAUCUUCUUUUGCACAAUACUGUGCAAUUGAAUAUUUCUUGCUAUUGCGCAAUACUGUACAAUUGACAAUUUCUUGCUAUUGCGCAAUAUUGUGCUAUUGGAUAUUUCUUGCUAUUGCGCAAUACUGAGCAAUUGAAGAUUUCUUG